rnacentral:rRNA from 1 species
AAGUCAAAUGUGAAAACGACGGCUUAACCAUCGGCCUGCAUUGAUACUGUCGAUCUGAGUACGGAGAGGAAAGCGGAAUUCCUGGUGUAGCGGUGAAAUGCGUAGAUAUCAGGAGGAACACCGGUGGCGAAGGCGGCUUUUGGCCCGAUACUGACACUGAGGCGCGAAGGCCGGGGGAGCAAACAGGAUUAGAUACCCUGGUAGUCCCGGCGGUAAACGAUGGGCACUAGGUGUUGGAGGUAUCGACCCCUUCAGUGCCGCAGCUAACGCAUUAAGUGCCCCGCCUGGGGAGUACGGCCGCAAGGCUGAAACUCAAAGGAAUUGACGGGGGCCCGCACAAGCGGUGGAGUAUGUGGUUUAAUUCGAAGCAACGCGCAGAACCUUACCUGGGUUUGACAUGCACUGGACGGCGGCUGAAAGGUCGCGUUCCCUUCGGGGACCGGUGCACAGGUGCUGCAUGGCUGUCGUCAGCUCGUGCCGCGAGGUGUUGGGUUAAGUCCCGCAACGAGCGCAACCCCUGUCCUUAGUUGCCAUCAGGUUAUGCUGGGAACUCUAAGGAGACUGCCGGUAAUAAGCUGGAGGAAGGUGGGGACGACGUCAAGUCCUCAUGGCCCUUACACCCAGGGCUACACACGUACUACAAUGGUCGGUACAGAGGGCUGCAAGACCGCGAGGUGGAGCCAAUCCCUAAAGCCGGCCUCAGUUCAGAUUGGAGUCUGCAACUCGACUCCAUGAAGGUGGAAUCGCUAGUAAUCGCGGAUCAGCAGGUCGCGGUGAAUACGUUCCCGGGCCUUGUACACACCGCCCGU